rnacentral:misc_RNA from 1 species
CACAUGAACCCCCCAACCUGACCCGCGGAAAUCCCGACUCGGCCAGAAAUGGCUGGCUAGUCACGUGAUCAGAACAUAUGGCUGGCGAUCGGCUCGAUGCGGGGUUCAGGAUUCGGUAUCUCUAUUGGUACAGUAACCAGCCAUUCACCCAUUUGGAAAUGAAAAGGUUCGGUUCAGGUUAUGACGUGGUUGAGAGGGAUACCAAAGGGGGCACACGUCCAAACUCGAUCUCCGAACUCGAAAUCUUCAAUCGUACAUAGGUUCUUAUUCCUUUGUGUUGAAGGUCUGGGGAGAGUUUGGGUCACGUGAUAUCGUUCGUCAUGUGUAGAUGAACCGGUGUCGUUGAGCUGGGUUGAGCUGGUGUGACUUUUUUCUCCUAUUACCCCGAUUUUCUUCCGAUUUCGAUUCUGAAACGUUUUUAGUUGCAAGUGGCCAUCCUGAACCCAUUUUGCGUGUUUCCUUUCGUGAUCUCGUUUUCGGCGUUCUGUCUGAGGGACCUCAGGUUUGACAAGACUAUGGAAAGGUCAAGUUGGAUGGAUGAGACCAGCAACAGUCGAGUGUUUGUACAGAAUGUUGAGUGCCAUUCAGCACAACCUGUAUCCGGUUCACGAUAUCCAUCUCGUGUCGCUUUGCAGGCAGUGCCCAAGUCGGGUCAGGUCAUGGUUAAUCACUGGUUUUCUGGUCAUUGGUCGCAAGUCUCAAUCCACUGUUCUCAUUGAUUCGACCAGCUGAAGAACUGAGGACAUGACUGGAUAAUACGUGGUCCAUGCCUGUGUGUGGAUGCCAUGGUACAUUCGUAUCAGCUUCAUCACCAGGCAUUGUGGCUCUAUUCUGCAAACGAAACGAACAAGUGCUCAAAUACAUGCAGGUGGACUCUGUUGUCCAUUCGUAUUCUUGCUGUUCAUCAACGAAACAUAUCUUUCUUCUUCGGUUGACGCGGUUUCAACCUCUUCCAGCCAUUCUAUCAGACUACCAUUGGGUGAUACACUCGCUCUGGAUUACUGGCCAUAGAUGUCUUCUUGUCGAGAGCAACUUGCGUCGAGAGCUAUACAUGCUUACAAGACACCUUUCAUCACUCUGAGGCCCAAGCACUCUCGGUCUCCUGGCAAGAUAUCGUCUUCGGACGUGGAUCUCGGUGCGAAGAUGAGCGACAAGCAUACAUUCGGCUCAAAACUGGCUCAAAACUGGCUUGUAACUAACUCGGUUGCCCACGCAGCUGUGUUAGCUCUGUGCGGAAGUUACACCGAUCAUUUGAGGAGGACAAGUUGAUGGUUUCCAACCCAUAGGGACCGUGUCUAUACUGUGCUGUAUUCAGUUGCUCUAAGUACUCUCAUGCUUGAAUAGACCGAGUGACGUUUCCAAAGAGACGGUUUUAGACGGUUUUAGACGGCCUCAGACAUGCACGAGGCGCCAGAGUCUCAUUUCCACCCUCAUGAUGCGGUUUCACACAGUCUUUUCAACAAUCACCCUGCUAGCAGCAACCCAUUCUCUCUUCAAGGGGCUAUUUCCAGACCAGCAAAUCGUCGCCUUUUUGACCGAGUCUCCUCGUUGACGGACCUGCUCUGGAAACAACCCCUUCCCUUCCUUCUGCCGGCUCUCCUGAGCCCGAGUUUUCUUAGCCAGCUCCAUAACGCUUGCCUGUCGCUGGUA